AACUUUUAUAGGAUAGAAGUAAUCCGUUGGUCUUAGGAACCAAAAAAUUGGUGCAACUCCA
rnacentral:tRNA from 1 species